AACGAACGCUGGCGGCAGGCCUAACACAUGCAAGUCGAGCGAGAUCUUCGGGUCUAGCGGCGAACGGGUGAGUAACGCGUGGGAAUAUGCCUCUUGGUACGGAAUAGCCUCGGGAAACUGGGAGUAAUACCGUAUGUGCCCUUUGGGGGAAAGAUUUAUCGCCAAGAGAUUAGCCCGCGUUGGAUUAGGUAGUUGGUGGGGUAAUGGCCUACCAAGCCGACGAUCCAUAGCUGGUUUGAGAGGAUGAUCAGCCACACUGGGACUGAGACACGGCCCAGACUCCUACGGGAGGCAGCAGUGGGGAAUCUUAGACAAUGGGGGCAACCCUGAUCUAGCCAUGCCGCGUGAGUGAUGAAGGCCUUAGGGUUGUAAAGCUCUUUCAGCUGGGAAGAUAAUGACGGUACCAGCAGAAGAAGCCCCGGCUAACUCCGUG
rnacentral:rRNA from 1 species